GAUGAACGCUGGCGGCGUGCCUAAUACAUGCAAGUCGAGCGAACAGACGAGGAGCUUGCUCCUCUGACGUUAGCGGCGGACGGGUGAGUAACACGUGGAUAACCUACCUAUAAGACUGGGAUAACUUCGGGAAACCGGAGCUAAUACCGGAUAAUAUAUUGAACCGCAUGGUUCAAUAGUGAAAGACGGUUUUGCUGUCACUUAUAGAUGGAUCCGCGCCGCAUUAGCUAGUUGGUAAGGUAACGGCUUACCAAGGCGACGAUGCGUAGCCGACCUGAGAGGGGGAUCGGCCACACUGGAACUGAGACACGGUCCAGACUCCUACGGGAGGCAGCAGUAGGGAAUCUUCCGCAAUGGGCGAAAGCUUGACGGAGCAACGCCGCGUGAGUGAUGAAGGUCUUCGGAUCGUAAAACUCUGUUAUUAGGGAAGAACAAAUGUGUAAGUAACGAUGCACGUCUUGACGGUACCUAAUCAGAAAGCCACGGCUAACUACGUG
rnacentral:rRNA from 1 species